rnacentral:lncRNA from 10 species
UUUCUACUUUGCCUCUUUUUUCCAGGAGGGAUAAGACUGAGAAGAAGGAAUGGAAGAGAAAAUCGCUUUGGGUGAAAGGGAAGGGCAGUAAGAAGCGGUCACCUGGUAUCCAGCAGAUGGGCCAGCCUUCAUGCAGAAGGUAAAUGGAGGGAAACCAUCCCAGAGCAAGCACUAAAGCAGCAAGGAAGAAGUAGCACAGAUUGGCGUUCUCCUCUGUAUGGAUGGAGACAGUGAGUGAUGCCCAGGAGUGCUUUCUGUGUCCUCUGUGUAACCCCUGUUGGCUUGCACUGAGUUCUUCAUGCAUCUGGGUGAAUAGCAGGAGUCUUGCUGCCCACCUUCCCAGGAAGAGGCUUCCAUUCUCCUCUCAUCCCCCCAUGACAGGCUUUUCCUGCCCAAGGAGGGGUUUAGACUGUGAUUCAGAAAGUCUCCUGCAUGCCACCAUGUACAAAGGCAGGCUCAGAGUGGAGAAGAUUCUUGUCUGA